rnacentral:rRNA from 1 species
GACGAACGCUGGCGGCGUGCUUAACACAUGCAAGUCGAGCGGUAAGGCCCCUUCGGGGGUACACGAGCGGCGAACGGGUGAGUAACACGUGAGUAACCUGCCCCAUUCUUUGGAAUAACCAGUGGAAACGCUGGCUAAUGCCGAAUAUGACCAUCGAAGGCAUCUUCUGGUGGUGGAAAGCUCCGGCGGAGUGGGAUGGACUCGCGGCCUAUCAGCUUGUUGGUGAGGUAACGGCUCACCAAGGCGACGACGGGUAGCCGGCCUGAGAGGGUGACCGGCCACACUGGGACUGAGACACGGCCCAGACUCCUACGGGAGGCAGCAGUGGGGAAUAUUGGACAAUGGGCGAAAGCCUGAUCCGGCAACGCCGCGUGAGGGAUGACGGCCUUCGGGUUGUAAACCUCUUUCAGCAGGGACGAAGCGAAAGUGACGGUACCUGCAGAAGAAGGACCGGCCAACUACGUGCCAGCCGCCGCGGUAAUAC